rnacentral:rRNA from 1 species
AAUAACAAUACAGGGCAAUUGUCUUGUAAUUGGAAUGAUGGUGACCUAAACCCUCACCAGAGUAACAAUUGGAGGGCAAGUCUGGUGCCAGCAGCCGCGGUAAUUCCAGCUCCAAUAGCGUAUAUUAAACUUGUUGCAGUUAAAAAGCUCGUAGUUGAAUUUUUGCGUCACCGUGUAUCGACAUUUGUCGUUUAUCGGUUUCGCUUUUGGGAUUUAUCCCUUUUUACUUUGAGAAAAUUAGAGUGUUUCAAGCAGACUUUUGUCUUGAAUACUUCAGCAUGGAAUAAUAGAGUAGGACUUUGGUUCUAUUUUGUUGG